rnacentral:rRNA from 1 species
UACAGAAGGGGGCAAGCGGUUUAUUCGGAAAUUAUUUGGGCCGUAAAAGGGUCGUCGGUUAAGGGCGGCUUGGCUAAGUGGAAGGUGAAAUCCCUCGGCUACAACUGAGGAACUUGCCUUCCAGGACUGCUUUGCUUGAGUCCGGGAGAGGUGAGUGGAAUUCCCAGUGUAGCGGUGAAAUGCGUAGAUAUUGGGAGGAACACCAGUGGCGAAGGCGGCUCACUGGACCGGAACUGACGCUGAGGCGCGGAAAGCGUGGGGAGCAAACGGGG